rnacentral:rRNA from 1 species
AUCGAACGCUGGCGGCAGGCCUAACACAUGCAAGUCGAGCGGAAGAAGGCAGCUUGCUCCUGGAUUCAGCGGCGCACGGGUGAGUAAUGCCUAGGAAUCUGCCUGGUUGUGGGGGAUAACGUCCGGAAACGGGCGCUAAUACCGCAUACGUCCUGAGCGAGCAAGUGGGGGAUCUUCGGACCUCACGCUAUCAUAUGAGCCUAGUCCGGACUAGCUAGCUGGUGGGGUAAAGGCCUACCGAGGCGACGAUCCGUAACUGGUCUGAGUGGAUGAUCAGUCACACUGGAGCUGAGACGCGGUCCAGACUCCUACGGGAGGCAGCAGUGGGGAAUGGUGGAAGAUGGGCGGAAGCCUGAUCAAGCCAUGGCGCGUGUGUGAAGAAGGUCUUCGGGUUGUAAAGCACUUUAAGUUGGGAAGAAGGGCUGUAAGUUAAAACCUUGCUGUUUUGACGUUACCAGCAGAAUAAGCACCGGCUACCUUCGU